rnacentral:rRNA from 1 species
AUUGAACGCUGGCGGCAGGCCUAACACAUGCAAGUCGAACGAGUGGCGGACGGGUGAGUAAUGUCUGGGAAACUGCCCGAUGGAGGGGGAUAACUACUGGUAACGGUAGCUAAUAUCGCACACCAUCGGAUGUGCCCAGAUGGGAUUAGUUAGUAGGUGUGGUAACGGCUCACCUAGGCGACGUUCCCUCGCUGGUCUGAGAGGAUGACCAGCCACAGUGGAACUGAGACACGGUCGAGAAUACUACGAGAGGCGACAGUGGGGAAUAUUGCACGAUGGGCACAAGCCUGAUGCAGCCAUGCCGCGUGUAUGAAGAAGGCCGUCGGGUUGUAAAGUACUUUCAGCGAGGAGGCGUUACUCGCAGAAGAAGCACCGGCUAACUCCGUGCCAGCAGCCGCGGUAAUUG